rnacentral:rRNA from 1 species
GAUGAACGCUGGCGGCGUGCUUAACACAUGCAAGUCGAACGGUGAAGCAGGAGCUUGCUCUUGUGGAUCAGUGGCGAACGGGUGAGUAACACGUGAGCAACCUGCCCCUGACUCUGGGAUAAGCGCUGGAAACGGCGUCUACUACUGGAUAUGUGAUGUGACCGCAUGGUCUGCAUCUGGAAAGAAUUUCGGUUGGGGAUGUGCUCGCGGCCUAUCAGGUUGUUGGUGAGGUAAUGGCUCACCAAGGCGUCGCCGGGUAGCCGGCCUGAUAGGGUGGCCGGCGACACUGGGUCUGAGACACGGCGCAGACUCCUACGGGAGGCAGCAGUGGGGAAUAUUGCACAAUGGGCGGAAGCCUGAUGCAGGAAGGCCGCGUGAGGGAUGACGGCCUUCGGGUUGUAAACCUCUUUUAGCAGGGAAGAAGCGAAAGUGACGGUAACUGCAGAAAAAGAACCGGCUAACUACGUGCCAGCCGCCGCCGUAA